CAGAGGCUGGUAGGUGGCCAUUGCUAAGAGCCAGUAGGGGUCUGGUUCAAAGCUGAGGUCUUUUGCCAAAAGGUGUCAAUAUGGGGAAGUACAGGAGGAAGUCAAAGUGCAAGAGUACUGCUAGGAAUGAGUAAUCUAGAAACCACUUACCAGGCUGCCAAGAUCUUUUUGGACCCAACUUUGUCAUAUGCUGCAUUUGCUGUCCUUCUGAACUUUGUGUUCAGCUUUAUCUACUCAUCAUGGAGCAUUAUCCCACUGCUGCACCUUCAGCUGAGAAUAUCUUUCAUGUCACC
rnacentral:lncRNA from 1 species